UGGGGAAUAUUGCACAAUGGGCGAAAGCCUGAUGCAGCGACGCCGCGUGCGGGAUGAAGGCCUUCGGGUUGUAAACCGCUUUUAAUUGGGAGCAAGCGAGAGUGAGUGUACCUUUUGAAUAAGCACCGGCUAACUACGUGCCAGCAGCCGCGGUAAUACGUAGGGUGCAAGCGUUAUCCGGAAUUAUUGGGCGUAAAGAGCUCGUAGGCGGUUUGUCACGCCUGGUGUGAAAGUCCAUCGCUUAACGGUGGAUCUGCGCCGGGUACGGGCAGGCUAGAGUGCAGUAGGGGAGAUUGGAAUUCCCGGUGUAACGGUGGAAUGUGUAGAUAUCGGGAAGAACACCAAUGGCGAAGGCAGAUCUCUGGGCUGUUACUGACGCUGAGGAGCGAAAGCAUGGGGAGCGAACAGGAUUAGAUACCCGUGGUAGUCCAUGCCGUAAACGGUGGAUGCUGGAUGUGGGGCCCUUCCA
rnacentral:rRNA from 1 species